UGCCCGCCGGGCCGAGGGAGGCUGCGCGGCGCUCUGUGCCCUUCCUGGUGGUGGGGGGAGGGGAGAGGCAGUGUCGGAGCUGUUCUCCCAAGGUGACCGGGUGCUGGGGCUCACCGUCGCCACUGGGGCGUGCAGCAGCACCCGCGAGCCGCUACGGGAAGUGAGGGAGCGUCGAUCUGACCUCUACGAGGCAGGGCGACCCGGCGGGGCGGGAGCGCGGGAAGGAAGGAGGCACCGGCGCUCCUGGCUCUCUAGGUUGCUUGGGGUUUAGGAGCCUCUAGGAAAGCAUAGCCCGGUGGGUCCAUGUGGUCCCAUGUGGUUCGAGCUCUGACCUUUCCAGCACUGUUGCCUGUGCAUCACCUUCUGCCUUGGUGGGGUGGUGGUUUUGGACUGGGAGUCUGUUGGAGGUGAGGGGUGAAUUCUCCUAAAGGAAGGUUCCAAGGCCUAGGCUGGGCAGGACUUACGCUGGUAAGCAAACAGGAAAUUGCAUUUUGUGCCGGUAGAUGUCUUUCUGGGGUUUGUGCCUGCAUUCCUAGAUAAGAGCAUGUGUGAAUCAUGCUGCCAAGCUUUUGUAUUGCCAGGAUACAUGGCAAUGACCAGUUGUGACCAGUUAGUAUUGCUCUUGCUGUUUUUGUCUUUGUGUGUCUACCUAAGGGUGAGCAUCCAUCAGAGCAGAUUUUCUCAAAUGCUUUCUGCCCUGCUGUGUUUGCACUGAUUUGACCUGGCUUUGGAGGGAAAUUGAGAUGGACGUGCAGUGGAGCAUAAGGGGAAUGUCCCUAGGCUGGUGUGUCCGGGCCUGUCUCCUGUGCCUUGCCACAACAAAGAAGGAUGCCUCUUUUGAAUGCAAAGAAGUGUCUUGGCUUUGUCCAUCAUCAUGAAACUUGCUGAAGGUGAGCCUGCCUGUAUGCUUUGGUGACCUCCUGAAAGCACAGCUGUAUGUCAACCACUCCUCCCUAUGUUGUGAACGCAGGGUUUCAUUAUAAUUCCUUCCGGAGAGGACUUUGUGCAGCAUUGCCCUCAGCUGGUGUGGGAAGGAACAUGACAUCCUUGCCUUGCUAGUUUGGGCAACCAGAGAUUUUUCUGUCUUUACAUUCUUAGUGUUGUCCAUCCAUCUCUGUUCAGCGUGUUCAUUAUGUCUGGCCUUAGUUCGCAGAGCAACCUUCCAGGCUAAGACCCACGCUGCCGGAUAUCCAGUGUCUAACCUGGCCAGUACCAUGGUCUUUCAGGGGGUUGCAAGACUCCCAACAGUUGCUGUUUCCAGGAGUGCCAUGUUCUAGGCCUUUACGCAAGGGUUGGUUUGUGUCCUGAAGCAAGAUGGGCUUGCAUUUUUUUAAAACUGCGAGGAUCUCAUUGCUCACAAGUCUAGCAGCUCCCUAAUCCUGCUCUGCCUGUCCUUUCUCCAAGAAUGUGGCUCCAGCAUAGAAGCAUGGGAGGGGCAAGAAGGCUAUCUGAGUACCGCCAAACUCAGUCCCACAGCUGUCCCUCGUGACAAAGAUGAGGAACUACAUUUUCUGCACUGCCUUGGCAGGCAGUGUGGGGGACAGGUGAACAGAAUGCUGCCAAUGCAGGGAAGUUUAUCUAAUAUUUCAGAGGUUCCCUUUACCCACUUCCCAUCAAGUCUCAGGAAUGGGUGAGGAUAGGAAAGAUGUGGAGACCAGAUAGCCCCAAGAAAAGCUAAGCCUAUAUAAUACCUAACGUGAAUGAAAUGAAAAGAAUCUGCAAGGCAGGCGUAGAAGAGAAAAGAGAUGAAUGUUCCUUUCACCUGCAGAGCAUGCCAGUCUUUGAGCUUGCACUGACCAGAAGUUGCAAAGAGCACAGCAGCCAUGGAUGUGCAGACGCUGCUUCCCAUUCCCAGAAUGCUCAGAGGGUAUGUCCACACCUGCAGCACCACUAAUUCCUGACCUGACUAAUCUCCAUGUAGCUCUUUGGAAGAACAGGGUUUCAUCCUUUCAGAGCUUUGACUGGAGUUAUGAGUUAGUGGUUGGUUUGGGGCAUGGUUUUGUGCAACACUUGGGGAUGGAGGGGUAGUGGUGAAAGAGACAACUUAAAACUGCUUUGGGAGAUAACAGAUCCUAAAAUGCUAUUAUCUGAAUUUAACAAAUGCUUCUGGCCCUGCACCUCUUGCAAUGGAAGCACCAGGACAGGCUUUGCAAUUUGUUCCAAUUUAGAGAAUGAGUAAUACUGAGAUUCCUAUCUCAACUGAGACCAAAUGAAGAGUUGGCACUUGAUACAUGUUUAUUAUUGCACUCAACUCAUUCAUUUGUACUGACUGUGUGUGCAAACUACUAAUUAUAUCAAUUUAAUUAAUGCAGGUAAGGUGCAACUUCUCUGGAACUUAUGUGACAUUUGUUUCCUCUCAUGCUUCUGGUUUCCUUAUCUAAUAAAUGUUGCAAUAAAUUUUAA